rnacentral:tRNA from 1 species
GGGGUUGUAACUCAGUGGUAGAGUGCUCGUCUGGCAUGUGUGAGGCCCUGGGUUCAAUCCUCAGCACCA